rnacentral:tRNA from 1 species
GAUAGCCUUUCCAGCAUCCCAGUGCUUUCCAAUGCUUUGCGAUCCAGCAAUUCGGCCUCCAACGUCCGUUUCCAGACGUCAGAUUACAAAAUCGCCGACACGCGUCCACGGAAAUCUGCGAUGAACCUUUUUUCGUUGCAGCGAGGCCGCUUACUUCUUCCCGACCAUGUCGUGCGGCUUCACCCACUCGUCGAACUGCUGCUCGGUCACAUGACCGAGCGCGGAUGCCUUCAGCGUCGUGCCUUCCUUGUGAGCUUUCUUGGCGAUCUGCGCGGCUUUGUCAUAGCCAAUAUGCGGAUUCAGCGCCGUCACCAGCAUCAGCGAUUGGUUGAGCAGGCUGUCGAUGCGCGACUCGUUUGCCUCGAUGCCCACCGCGCAGUUGUCGUUGAAGCUCGUCGCGCCGUCCGCGAGCAGGCGGACCGAUUGCAGCACGUUGUGCGCGAUCAUCGGGCGGAAAACGUUCAGUUCGAAGUUGCCGCUCGCGCCGCCGAAGUUGACCGCGACAUCGUUGCCGAAGACCUGGCAGCACAGCAUCGUGACGGCUUCGGACUGCGUCGGGUUCACCUUGCCGGGCAUGAUCGAGCUGCCCGGUUCGUUUUCCGGAAUUGACAGUUCGCCCAGACCGCAGCGCGGGCCGCUCGCGAGCCAGCGGAUAUCGUUGGCGAUCUUCAUCAGGCCGGCGGCGACGGUCUUCAGCGCGCCGUGCGCGGCCACUAGCGCGUCGGCGGCGGCCAUCACCUCGAACUUGUUGGGUGCCGUUUCGAAGGGCAGGCCGGUGAGCUUGCCGAUCGCCUGCGCGACCUUGGUCGCAAAUUUCGGAUGCGCGUUCAGACCCGUGCCGACUGCCGUGCCGCCCUGCGCGAGCUGAUACAGAUGCGGCAGCGUCGCCUUGACGUGACGGAUGCCCUGAUCGAUCUGCGCGACGUAGCCUGAAAACUCCUGCCCGAGCGUGAGCGGCGUCGCGUCCUGCAAAUGGGUGCGGCCGAUCUUGACGAUCUUGUCGAAGGCUUUGGCCUUCUUGUCGAGCGUAUCGCGCAAGGUCUUGAGCGACGGAAUCAGAUGCCUGACGAUCGCGACCGCCGCCGCGACGUGCAUGGCCGUCGGGAACACGUCAUUGGAAGAUUGCCCGCGAUUCACGUCGUCGUUCGGAUGCACAAGGCGUUCUUCGCCGCGCGGCCCGCCGAGCAGUUCGCUCGCGCGAUUGGCGAUCACCUCGUUGAGGUUCAUGUUGGUCUGCGUGCCCGAGCCGGUCUGCCACACGGCCAGCGGAAAUUCGUCCGGAUGCUUGCCGUCGAUGAUCUCCUGCGCCGCCUGCAUGAUGGCCUGCGCCUUCUUGCCGUCGAGCCGCUUCAGGCCCUGGUUCACGUCGGCGGCGGCGUGCUUGACGACGGCGAGCGCGGUGAUUAGUUCGGGCGACUGCUUCUCCGUCGAGAUCUGGAAGUUUUGCAGCGAGCGCUGUGUCUGCGCGCCCCACAGCUUGUCGUCCGGCACGGCGAUUUCGCCGAACGUGUCCUUCUCCAUGCGUACCUUACUGUCUUUUGAAUCGUUUGCCAUGUUCCGAAGUCCUCGUAGAGAUGAAUUCACGCAGCGUGAGGCUGCGUCAGGUCAAAGCUGACUAUCGACGGGAAGGAUGGUGAAGAUGCCCGUUAUCACGUUGCGAUAGAAGCCGGCCUCGGGAUCGUAGUCGUAGGACACGCGGCGCUGUUUUCCUCGGUGGUCCAGACGAGGCCCGACUGCGGCGCACCGGCGCGCCUGAGCGAUGCCAUCACCGCGUUGCUGGCCAGUCGCCGCGCCAGCUCGCACCCGGGGAGGCUGCGCGAUCGAACAGACCGGCAGCCUGUUCCACGAUCGGCUUGCUGUGGAUCACGAGCGCGAGUUCGGUGUUGAGCAGCGCCGAACGCGGAUCGAGAUUCAUCGAGCCGAUCACGAGGAUACUCCGAUCGAUCACAUACGCCUUGGCAUGGAGGCUCGCGCGCGAUUUCGAGCCGAACAGGCCGGCGGUCGGCCGGCCUUCGCCGUACGCCUGCAUCGGCUUGAAUUCGUAUAGUUCGACGCCUUCGCGCAGCAGCGGAUGCGAUAGGGCGCAUAGCCCGCCUGCACGGUGACGGCGUCGGUCGCGGCGAGCGAGUUGGUCAGCACGGCGACGCGCAUGUGGCGUUUCGUGAGGUCGCCGAGCGCCUUCAGGCCUGCGUUGUGCGGCACGAAGUACGGCGACAGGAUCAGGAAUUCGCGCUGCGCCUCUUUCAGGAGCGCGGCGAGGCGUUCCAUUGGCGGGCUCUUGUAGUCGUCGCUCGGAUUCAUGAUCUUCGAUGGCUUGUCGGCCCAGAAUUCGGUCUGCGCCCAGGUGAGGCCGAGUUCGUCGCGUGAGAUUUGCUGCGCGAGCGGCGUUGCGUUGAGCGGCCGCGCGUUCAGCGGAUCGACUUGAGUGCGCCAGUGGGCGCGCAGGUCGUCGCGGGUCUUGUCGAGUUCGGAGGCAUCGAACUUCUGCUUGUUCAGCGCGCGCAGCGGGUAAGAAAUGGUGCUGUUCCAGUACUCGUCGAAGCUUGCGGAGAUUUUCUGCGUGACGGGGCCAGCGCAGAACACGUCGAGGUCGCGGAAUUGCAACGUCGGGCUGAUGCUGAAGUAUUCGUCGCCGAGAUUGCGUUCGCCGACGAUGGCGAUCUGGUUAUACGCGAUCAUUGCCUUGUUGUGCAUGCGGCACGUGAAGUGAUCGACGUUCGAGAAGAUGUCCUGCGUGCGUUCGAAGAAGCUGCGUUACGCGCUGCCGAACGGAUUGAACGCGCGAAUCUCGAUGUUCUCGUGCUAGUUCAACGCCGCCAUGAUGUGGUCGAUGUCCUUGAAAUUCAGGUCGUCGACGAGCAUGCGCACGCGCACGCCGCGAUCGGCGGCGUAGAGCGCAGCGGCGAGCAACAGCUUGCCGGAGUUGUCCUCGUUGGCGAUGUAGUACUGCAUGUCGAGCGUCUUCGUCGCGGCGCACGCUAGCGCGAUGAGGGCUUGCAGCGCGUCGGUGCCAGUCGGGAGCAGGCGCGGGCCCGUUUCGCCGGGGUGCUGGCGUUCGAGCGGGGCGAUGGCAGCGCUUGCGUGGUGGCGUGGUCGAAUGCGGUCGCGGGUGGGCGGGUGGCGCAGGCGCUUAGGGCCAGUAGCGCGGUCGUGGCCGCGAUUGCCGUGAGUUUGCGCAGUAUCGCUGUGUGCGUUGUCGCUGGCAGGCGCGCGCGAUUCUGCGGCGCGCGGGGUGCGGUGGUGCAUCCCUGGUAUUGCUGCACUUCGAUUCCUCUUUUUUCGUCUGUUUUCCGGGCGGCCGGAGGCUUGUUCGCCAUUGAGUUGGCGGCGCCGGCGUUCAGUGUCGUGCCCCUGAGCACGUUGCGUGCUCGGACUCGUUGUCUCUCGGAUUAUUCUAUGGGAAUUCUUGCCGGGGUUCGUUUUUCGCCCACCGGGCGCGGUGGGGCGCGCGUUUUUUCUUGUCCUGCACAGGCAAAAAAAUGCCCGCUCGUGGGAGCGGGCAGGAACCCCUGUCAAUGGAGUCUCAAGGAAGAGACAACCUCAUCCUAACUUUCUUCUCCGCUCGCGCCAAACAAGCAUUCGUGGUUUGUAUUUCGCUUCUUUUUGUCACGUGCUUAUCUUUUGGUUUUGGGUUAUGCCGUAGGCGUCUUUAGGAGGUGUCGUCGGCAUAAUGGUCACCUUUCGGCACUUUCAGUUCCAGCACCAUGAUCGUGAUGAUGGCCAUCACGCCAUCGCUGAAUGCUUCGAGCCGGGUCUUGCCCAUCGUGAGUCCUCGCGAUUUUCUGAUUCGUCGCGAUUAUGCGCGAGGGGCGCGAACGUGUCAUUUGACUCGCUGCGCGCGAGCGCUGCCUUGCGCGGGCGCGUUUGGGCAUGGCAGGCCACAAUGGUAGAAUCGAAUCGCGUCCGCUUGG